AUUGAACGCUGGCGGCAGGCUUAACACAUGCAAGUCGAGCGGGGAAAGGUAGCUUGCUACCUGACCUAGCGGCGGACGGGUGAGUAAUGCUUAGGAAUCUGCCUAUUAGUGGGGGACAACAUCUCGAAAGGGAUGCUAAUACCGCAUACGUCCUACGAGAGAAAGCAGGGGAUCUUCGGACCUUGCGCUAAUAGAUGAGCCUAAGUCGGAUUAGCUAGUUGGUGGGGUAAAGGCCUACCAAGGCGACGAUCUGUAGCGGGUCUGAGAGGAUGAUCCGCCACACUGGGACUGAGACACGGCCCAGACUCCUACGGGAGGCAGCAGUGGGGAAUAUUGGACAAUGGGCGGAAGCCUGAUCCAGCCAUGCCGCGUGUGUGAAGAAGGCCUUUUGGUUGUAAAGCACUUUAAGCGAGGAGGAGGCUACCUAGAUUAAUACUCUGGGAUAGUGGACGUUACUCGCAGAAUAAGCACCGGCUAACUCUGUGCCAGCAGCCGCCGUAAGAC
rnacentral:rRNA from 1 species